AAUCAUUCAACCAGAGAGUAGNAUUUCUCAUUGAAUCUUUUGCGAAGUGCACACCUCGCAGCUCCGCAAACUUCAGGAACUUUCAACUGACGUAACUUUAAGUACUCGGCGGAGACCGAAACAAAAGACCAAUGUGACUUCUACUUCAGCAAAGGGUUUUUGCCAAAUUCUCCUGCAAAGUUUUUGACGUUUUCUGAAGAACUAUCUUCAAAGCUGUCAAUUGGCGAAAACGUCGCUGUCACGAAAGAAAAGAUCAAGUAAAAUAUGUUUUGAGCAACGAGAGCGUAUAUUUUCUUUCCACCAGGGCAAGACUUCUAUAUCUUGAUGAUACACAAGUGCGGAAGCUCUAGCUGCAGGGUCGGCCAUAUUUACUCAUCUUAAACGAAGUUGGUCAAAUUCAUUUUAAAUGCAAGCACAACGUAACGAAAUUUGUCCAAUUGAGUAAAAAGUGGUUUUGUCACCUUUCUUCCUCUUCAAGAAAAAAUGAAACCUUGAACUCGAAUUUAUAGGAAAACACUUCUACUUCUUAUCAACCGUUUCCGUUCUGAUAAAACUACGACAAGUUGUCUGGGAAGGACUUAGCAGUUUUAACUCCAGAAAAAAAGGCACGAAAAAUUGACCAAGCAGAGUACGUCGUAAUAUUUAUAUAGACGUCAACAUUUAUCACCUUGUUUGGAUUCUACAUAAAACAAAUGCACUCAAGGGAAAAUUAUUUUGUCAUUAUAUAUCUUUACUUGAGUUAUAAAAAUUAAAACUAGUAAAUGUGAUAUUAAACUGUAGUUUCUUAUAUUUUAUUAUUAUGAUUACUAGUAUUAGACACAACUAUCCUGCGCGGAAAAGAAUCUCUUUCGAUUUUCCAGAAACUCUGACUUGACAAGGGUUUCGACAUGACUGGCAGUUUUAUAGUCGACUAUUUGUAUAAAUUGCCGUUAUAACAAAAAAGAAAAUAGAUUGUAAUACUUUUUUAUGAAAUUCGGUGAGGAAUUCCAAGUAAAUUUAAGUUAAUUAACGACUGUUUAUGCUCACAACUUUGUCCGAAUUAAUUUAUGAAAAUGCGUCAUCAGUAAUCAAAUUAACCCUUUGUUAUAAAAUAUAUUCAAAACUUCUCACGUGAGAAACUUUUGUUUGACAAGAAGGCGUCAUAGAAUUUUCAGCCAUUAUGUUGUCUUUCUUUGUUUCAUUAUCAAAAGGUCGGUAUGCGCUUUUUUUUCAGAUGAAUGUAUCUUAGGCGUUAAUUUUGAUAGAAAUUGCGUGUUUUGCCUCGUUCCUAAGUGUUAUUUUAUGAAAAACUCAGUGUUAAGUCGUAACAUCAAAACAGGACGAGAAAUGUGUUGCUUGCGUCAUCAGACGUUAAUUAAAUGUUGGUAAAACUCAGUCGUUUGCUUGUUUUAUCUAUAGCAAGAACAAUAUCUGUAUUCUGACUAAUUGCCCACGCCAUAUGUCGACUCGAUGCGCUUGUGAAAGGAAAAAAAAUUACGUGAUUAAAAAGAAAUAUAAAGCUCCUUGAUAAAGAUAGAACACAAGCUGUUAGAUUAACUUUUAUAAGCGAAUGACUUUGAAACGUUUGAGGAAAAGCACUUUUAUAAUAACUUACGUAUUAGCACAGAACUUCCUCGUUAAUGUUUAAGAAUCUUUUAUAAACCAAUAGCUUCAAAAACAAAACAUAAAAAAAGUUUAAUAGU
rnacentral:lncRNA from 1 species